GGGGAGCGCUCCGAGGGGGAGCGGUCCUGAGUCCUGAGCCGCGUGGGACGGCGCGGCGGAGAGACGCGGCGGGAUGAGGAAUCCCUCGCCUUCACCGCAGCGCGAGUGACGCGUCCCGAAGGAGCGCCGUGGUGGUGCAGCCGAUGGGCUUAGGGCCCUGGGGGUGAGGGUCUGGUCUGGCUUCCUCGCAUUUAGGAUUUGGAGGCGUGAACGACCUUCUGGCGAAGUGACGCGGCACCGUGCACGUGCCUCCUGCCUCCCGCCCUACGCGUCGGGCCGGGUGGAUGAAUGUCACCGUCCAUCCCUCCGCCGCCGUGAGGAUUAAUUACUCAUUACUCCUAAUGUGCUGUGGAAGAAGCUCAGUCAUUGCAAUACUUGGGGUUUCAAUAUGACCGAGCGUAUCUGUUGGGAAACGCUCCCAAUCGCUAGGUGAUGCCAUUCAAGAAAUAAAAAGCUACUGAGAGUAAGUGAAGAUUGUGCAAUUGUGCGGAUGCUUGGUUACUUUUUCAGUAGCGUCCACUAAUUUGGGGAUGUUUUCAUCUCCGGAUGCCCAGCUGGAGGUGCCUCAUCAGAGCUUAUGUUUGCGUGUAAGUCUCUUUGGAUGUCACAUAUGGAAGCCCUGGCUUCUUCAACUGUACCAGCACAGCUGGGCACGCAAGAGCAGGAUCCUUGUGGCUGAGGUCUUGGCCUUGGAAAACCACCAGAUCGUUUUCUUCAUGCCAAAACAUUGGGUGUCAGCCGUACCGCAUGGAAAUUGGACAUGGAUUCUCAAAUACAGCCAGGAGACUGAGUCCAUAAACAGCCAAAACACGUGAGAAAUGGUUGGCUUUCCAUAGUGAGCCAGCUGCAUUUGUGAGUUCACUACAGCGAGGAACCAGAGGUAUAAACCUGAUGGCUUUGUCAGCUCCCUUGAGCUGCUCACCUCUGCCCUCAGCUGCACUGUGCUGUUUUGUGACUGGCCUAAGAGCGAAGAGAAAGCUCCAUAUGCUUUUUCAUCUUUAGUUGGCGUACAGUGGUGCACGAUGCCCAAAGAGCUCUUAUCAUAACUCAUCAUCUUUUCCUCGGCUGUACAGGGAGCCACUUCACUGGAUAAGAUUAAGUUUAUAGGACAUAAAAUCAGGCCAGCCUGUCCUUUGUGCCAUGAGUUCUUGCGAGGAGAGAGGUUCUCUUCUCAUCCUGUAGCAGCCCAGGACGUUGAAACCAGGGAUGAGUGAGGCAUCCAGAGCUGCGUUUCCCCCAAGUGCUGCUGUGAUGGCUGUGGCUUCUUCUAGGGAAGCCCUCUCCAGCUGAAGAGAUCUGCCCGCCUCAUCUCAGCCGUGGGCUGAGCUUGUAGGGCUGGUGGUGGUAGCUGAGACAACGUGAUAAAUAUUUGUGCUCCACUGAAAUAAUUACGACUUAGGUGUCACUGAGACUGACUUGUUGUCCAAAUAUAAAAACCUUCAUGGGCGGACAUUGCCAUCCAGUUCAGGGCUUGUGCAACCUUUUGCUCAGUAGGAACCUGAGACUCCUGAAAUACUUAGAAAUGUAUAAAGAUUAAAAAGAAGUGGCACGGUACGAAUACCAUUUGGGAACAGCUAAUGAUGUGCCCAGCCCAGCCACCAAAGCCAUUGCUGAGAACUGGCAAACCCAGAACAUCAUCUUAAUCCCAGCACCUUGUAUCUUGCAGCCACUCCCUGUGAUGAUUUAAAGAGGUGUAUCUAAUUCUCAGCUGGCCUUCACCAAGAAGGAAUGCAGCACGAUUGCAAUUUUGGUGUGGUGUAAUUACCCUGCCUUUCUUGCCCCAUUACCACUGACACCGCUCUCCUCACGCCUGGGUUUAUAGGCUGACUUGUACAACCUCUUACAACCUCUUUGAUUUGCUUUGUUUUUUUUUUAACAAUGUUGGUAAGAGGUGUUUGCUGGUUUCGUGGAAGCUUCCUUUGGUUUCUGGGUGGCACAGCACCAAAGUCCUCAUUUUUCUAAGAGUCUUUCAGAGCUGAGCAACGUGAUACAGGAGAGUCUGGCAGUGAGUUUGAUUCAGUGGCUUGAGCCAAGUGCAAAACAGUCCAGAGGGGUUUCUCCUUUCAGAAAUACCUCAGUGCUGAUAAAUAAGGGGUUACUUUUUUGGGAGCUUGGUGACUUUGCCACUGCAGUUAUCAGAGUUCUCGGAAUCCAAACUCAACCUUGUUUAAAUUUGCCUAUGUAGGAGCCCAGGGCAGAGCUUUGAAGAGGAUGGGUCUUGGUGGAAGCCAGCAAUGGGCUGAAGAGCAGAGUGGGAGACAUGGGGCUUCUCUUGCCAUGCAGCAUCAAAGAGACUCAAGGCGAUUCCCCUGGCACUGCUUAUUGAGCCUGAAGUGCGAGGUGCCACAUCCCUGCAGAAAUGUUCAUAAACCUGCCCUCUCAUGCUCACCUACAGGAAGCACAGAUGACAGUUAUCAGUUCAGACAGUGCGGGGAGGGCGUGUAAAACACCCAUGCAUUUUCACAGGUUAGUGCCGUCACAUCUUUGUGGAUGGAGGAGGAAAUCCAGGACCAGGAGCAGCACCGCUUUUCAGCUGGCUGUCCAUAGUGUCUGCUGUUUAUACAGAUCAUUUCACAGCUUUAAGUUAAAACGUGGCAUUUAUUUUGUGUGGCUUCCUUGCUUCUUGUCAAUUCCUGAAUUAAUUCUGCUCUGAGCCUUGCCCUUCAAGUCUCUUGCUGUGCACAAGUCCAGUGGAAAACUCAGUUUUCUGGGCCUCUCAGUAACAGAGAUCAAGUAAACCGGUGUGUAAGGAGAUUGGCCCGAGUGAGUCAUUUGAUUGCACACAACUGCUGUGCCCUGGUGCAGAGCUUGUGUCUAUCAGCAAUAUUUAUCUUGCAGACUGUUUACUGGAUUCUGCACCAGGAACCAAGGUACAUACAUAAAGGUAUGUCAGAUAAGAGCUUGGCUGUGGGUUGAAGGCCAUUCACAUUCAGGGUUUUUCUGCUUUUCUACAGAGAAUCAAUGUCCAAACAGAGGCAGGCAGAGCUAAUGCUGCGAGGCUCAGCAGGAGCUGGAAGCGUCCCCACAGGACAUUGUGUUUGUGUGACUCGGAGGCUGGUCUUUCCUGCUGUGUCCUGUGCUUCCUUGGUGUUAUCUGCAUUCAGCUGUUUUAUCACCAAUCUCAUGGUGUCAGCUCUUUUUUUCUUUCAGUUUCAGUUUUGAGUUCUUUGCCAUUUCCCAAAUGCUUGGCUUUUAAUUUUCAUUCGUGCUUUUUUUUUUCCUUAUCUUCUGAACAUGGGAAGCGGUUUGAGAAUUGGCUGUUUUUCCUAAAACUGAAAUCUAACAUCAGAAAGGAGCACUGCAUAUGUAUUUUAAAAUGUCAUCAUUUCCAAGACAACCCCAUGAAUUUAAAGUGCCCUCACUUUAGGGUUCAUGAACAUGAUCCAUAUGAACAUCAUCAUCCAUAUGAUCCUCAUCACAUCUUCCAGAGGACGUGGAAGAAGUCUGCUAAGGGGCUUUUAAUCAAAAGUAUCAGCAUGUCAGAAGGUCUUUCUUUGUGUGUUUUAAAUUAUUUGUGACUGCUCGAUCUCAUAGAGACUUCCUGUUACUUUGCAUGGUCUGCAGGACUGGGUGGGGGCUGUUGACUAUUUUAGAGGCACCAACAGAAAGUGUUGUUCAUUUAUAAGUCAAUAGACAUACCUUAUUAAUCCUGUUUUUACAGAGCUUUCUGCAAAUGAAACCUGGAACGUGAGAAUCACAUCUUUACACUUAACUGCCAGCCCCAGCAGUUAAAGUUUUAUGCAAAGCAAAUUGUGGGCAGGGCAGUGCCCCCGUGGAUUUGCUGGAUAUAACUGGGUGGUCCAAACCAGUGUGCUGCUUUGGGUGCAUGAGGAGCAGAGUCAGCAUCUGACCGAGUCCCAGAAGUCUGAAUGAACAGACGAGACUGAUGGCUGCCCUGCAAUCCUCUAACAGAGCCUUUGAGUGAUCCCAGUUCACUUGGCACAGCUGUUGGCACAAGAAGGCUGUUCCUGAGAAGGCACGGACAGACAGGCAGACACUCUGCUCUGUGCUGUGUGGUUUUGCAGUGUCUCUGGGCGGCUGAUCGAGUGAGGGUUUCACUGCCUCUGCUGUAUUCUCAGCAAGGCGUUGUGGCAGUCUGAACUCAUCUUCCCUUUUGGAUCAUGUGUGGUAUCCUCCAUUAGUAACACUUUGCUCUGACAGGCGUCCUGCUGUGCAUUGCAGCAGUCAGGGGCUAAAUAAUUUAUUUGGGAAGCAAGUUUUUGUACAUGGCUCGGAAAAGGGAAGAGAACAGGAAUAUUGCAACAGUGAACCGUGGGGUGGAUUUCAGUGGUAGCCUUGGAGAAAUACAUUGUGCCCUAUAGUUUCUGAGCAUUGCACUUUGCCAUCCAUUGUUUCAAAAUUGCUUUCUCUCCCAUAAUUAUCUUUACAAGAGGAGGCGGAUCCAAAGCAUUUGUUUGUGCCUUUUUUUUUUCUUUCAAGGUAGUCCAUUGAUUUCCAUUUUUAAUAACAAGUGUGAAUAAACAAAAGGAAAAAGACCAACACGGUAAUACAUUAGCUGGUAUUUAAAAUAGAGAGAACAGGUCUGUUUGCCACAGCACGCUCCAUAUGUGGACAUGAAAGUGUCUUACAGAGGUCAUAAUUCUCAUUUCAAAGAUGAGGAAGCAGAGGUGCAGGGGGAAGUGGCUGGCUUAGCCAGUCAGUGCUGGAGCUGGGCGAGAGCCUCCAAACCCUCCAGAUCAGGAUGGCUCAGGUUCCAGGUGCAACAGAGGCACUGUGACACUGCAGGGAGGGCAGCAAACCAUGCCACCGGCCAUGCAGCCAGCAAAGCCUGGUUUCCUUCUGUUCUGUCCAAGGGAUCUCUGAUGUUGGCCUUUGAUGGUGCAGCCAUGAGGUGCCAGUGGCCUUUCCCUCACCAAGGGCACUGAUGCAGUGUGGCUCUCCAGCACUGUUGUCCGUUUCCCCAGAAGUUUAAGGUGCUUGAGAAUUUUUGAGCCUUUCUGUCAGGCAUGGGUGCUGUGAACCAGUGAGUCACAAGUAACGUGUGCUUGCACGCAUACACCCAUGCAUGCAUACACAGACCUGUAUCUUGGCAUUGCAACAUGAGGGAUAUUUUACCCUAUGGAACUAUGCGAUCACUUAGCAUUUUUACCUUGCAGAUCUGUGGUUUUAAACAUAUUUCUCUGUAGAGUUCUGAAUUAUAAAGGGUGGUACAGCAAGGAUCUUCAUUAUGUUGAUUCAGUACAGUUGUUCCAUCUUACUGAAAAUUACUUUCCAAGGGAAGACGCUAAAUGACUCUGAAUUGCUCUUCCAUCUCUGUGGCUGCAUCUUCUCUGAGCCCUCAGAGGCUCGCUAUCAAGUCAGACUCUUGAAGUUACUCAGUGGAUGAAUCCUACCUCUUGGUGAGAAGGCUUCUAUGCCUGCAGCCGUACUGCCCUGGGGCACGGUCCUGUCACAUCUCAUCACCCAGAGAAGGAGAGGCUGAAUGAGCUUUUUGGUGGGAAAUUUCUGAAGUAGUGAUUUUCAAUCUUUCUUGAUUUGUGAGCUCUGAAAACGCUUUAGGUGGCUGUUCAGCCUCCUUGGCAGGAAACUGAAGCUUGCUGAUAAGAGACUGGUUUGAUUAGCUUUGACAGACCCAUUUCAGGUAGGCUGUGGAUGCCACAGGUCUUCUGUGCUUGGAGUUCAUACAUGGAUCUGCCAAUGGGAAGCAGACAUAAUGUGUAUUAUGCAUCUGUACUCAUAUGGUGGGAAGGAGCAAAGUCAUUGGAAGCCAGGACACAAAAUCUUGCAUCUGCCUUUAGGAAGGCAGCCAUGCUGUGGUUGUUCAUGAGUGGAGGUGGCUGGCAGGGCUCCCCAGGGUGCUGCUCAAUGGGCUGUCCUGAGAGGUCAGCUCUUGGCACAGGAAACAGCCUGCCUAUCUUUGCUACAAGCUGUGCAGCACAGCUGAUAGUUACUGGCCAAGGUAACUGCUCUGAAAUGGCUUGCAGUGUGAUCUUCUGAUUAACAGUGCUUCCCUGCCUGCUUUCUGCUUCUUCAGACUAGUGCUGGGAAAGAUGGUUAGCAGGGUAGGCUGUCUAGCUUUGUCAUUCACCCUCUUUGACCUUCAGCUCUUUUUUUCUUGAUUAAGUCCAUGUUACCCAUCAAUUACAAAGAGAUCGUGUUGUGUUUUUAGCCCACAGGAGCAUUGUGAGAGCUUUGAUAAUAAAUUUUUCAAGAUCAUCAAGAGAAAUGUGCUAUAUAAAUGCAGAUUAAUGUUACUAGAAAGCCUGCAGGUUCUUUGCCUUAUAUGUCUCUUCCGUGGUGCCUGCCAGCAGACCCGAAUACAUUUGCUUCUCAGAUUACUAAUCUCAGAUGCAAUAUAUCAAUGGAGCAGACUUUCUUUCUUUAUAUUUUAAACAUCAUGGCACACCGUAUCAUGCAACCUGUGAUAAUACUGUUUAGCAUCUCUGUUAUUAGAGCAUCUCUUCAUACUUUUGUUGUUACAGGCCUCAGGGCCGUUGUUUACGGGCAGACCUCAAAGCCUUAGUAGUACUUCAGUUUUCCAGGUAGGAAAACUGGAGCCCAUCUUCCAAGCACCAAACUCUGAGCCGGUGAUGCGACAAGUGACUCUCUUAGCUCUCCCAUACUGUCAUCAAGCACUGGGAAACUGUUUUCAAAAGAACCAAAGACCAUCAAUUAUAGGACCUCAACGCAGAGUUUGCAAGUGAAAGUAAGCUUGCUAAACAGAAUUUUCUUUUUGCCCUCUGUGUGCUGUGAGUGACACUUCAACUAGACACUGCACUGGGUGCGUUUCCUGCAUGUCUGGUUGCUCAUGGAGAGAUGAGGGGAAAGCCCUCACUCAUUACCAGUGCCUCUUAGGCUUCUGGUUGCCUACUGAGUGUUUUACAUCCCUGAGUGCUUCAUUUAUAUUCUUCUCCUCACACUGGGCUUUUUUGUGGGUUACUAAUAUGUCCCUCAGACUUGCAAACUGUUGUUCCAAAAGGGUUAGAGGAAAUACACAAAUGAUGGGGAUAGCUGCUUGAAGGGCCCUCUUCUUCACACCUUACCAGGAGAAUAUCUUUUUUACUGGGCUGUGUAGUCUUUUCUGACUCGUGGGCCUUACACUGCUUAUGGCCCAAUGGUCUGGUGUCAAGACAACCAGGGGAAUACUUCCUUCCAUUCAGCUGAUGUGGGUGCUUUGAAAGGAGAGGCUGUCUUGAUCUCUGCUAGGCUGGAGAUGGCACUUCCAUGUCUCCUUUGUCUUUGGUGAACAUUCCGGUCCCCACGAUUGAUGCACCAAGCAACAUGAAAAGUCAAGCAAGGAAAUGGCCUCUUGUUUUGAAGGCGGCAGGGGAGCUCUUUUCUUUGCUUUCCUUGUUGGUCACUUCUGCCAAAUCUGGCAAAUCCCAUUUUUGUGUGACUGCUCCUGCCAGUAGAUCAUAUUGGGUGUGUAGAUGUGUAGAUGGAGAUUGGGAAUUUCACUUCUGGAACUGGCACUUUGAAGGGAGGUGUUGGUGCUGCUGUCACCACAACUAAGCCCUUUGCCAAUGUGGGGUCCGGGCGUCAAAGGUGAGUAAUUGUUAUUGAUGGAGGAACUGCCUUGUUUGUCCACUGACUAAACAAAGCAGAUUUUCCAGCUUUUCCCUCCUCCAAGUCUCCUCCAGAUCCUUCCAGCUUCCCCAUGUCACUCCCUUUUCCUAAUCUCCCCAUCUUUUCUCUGUGGCUUCCUCCUUCAGUUUCAGUUCUGAAAGGCAGCUCCCAGCCUCACGUUCUUCUCAUCUGAAGAGGGCUUCCCAAGCACAACUUGAAAGUCUUGCAUAGUACAACCUUCUUCCCAAGGCCAUCUCUGCCAAAAAGCUAUAUACUUUCCCUAUUUUGCAAUGAUCAUAUUUAACUUGUAGUAACAUACCAAAGUUAUUAGCCACUCCCUACUGGCAUGCCCUAUUCCUAAAGAAGCUGUGUGCCUUUUAACCUAGAGGUGCUGGAGGGUAUUUACUGACCAAACCAUCUGCUGUUCAGCUUUCCAUUUGCCCUUCAAAGCCAAGGUUGCCAUAUUUGCCAUAUUGCCCAGGGUCUGUGACCUGAAUAGCAAGUUGGUGUCCUGUGAGUGUCUGGUCCUGGAACGGCCACAUUUCCUGUCACUUUUUUCAGUAGCUGAGCUGAAUUCAGCGUUCCUGUGAAGGAUUAUUCAGACAAUUUCAGCAUCCUUAUGGGGGAUUGUUCAGAUAAUUCAUCAGAGCUUUCCAAAAGCAGAAAUGACACACACCAACACCCAUUUUGAAAGUGGUAGGCUGGUUAAAUGGACAACCCCUGCGGUCACUCUGCAUCAAUAUAUAGUGACAGUGGUGCUGCACUGAGCUUUUUUUUUCCAUCAAAGCAGCUCUAUCUCAUUGAUCCCCUCAGUGUUGUGCCAGAGAACAGCUGGAUAGCUUCUUUUUUGUAUUUAAUUUUGCUUCCUAACCUGGUGGGGUUUCUACAAAAGUGCCAGCAAGGUACUGGUGCAUGUUCCUUCUGUGAGGUCCAACAGGGAUUUCUAUCUCGUCCUCUUUCCUAGGGUGUAGCUCCUUUAGAAAUGAUUUUUGUGGAGCAGUGUUACAUAGGGAAAGUUAUGUUUAAUGACAGUUCUGGGGCGUUUAAAUGUUAAAGUACUUGCAUAGCAGAGGUGUAUGUGGUUGUUCUGGCAUAAAAAUGCUUGGGUUAUGGGAACCAGUAUAAAUUAUGCUAGUGAGAGCAAGUUUUAUCUUUAUAUGUUGGGAAAGCUGGUCCUGUAAUUGAAUGUAACUGUAAAUAAAACAAGUUUGGCACUGUUUUUCA